UACGGAGGGUGCAAGCGUUGCUCGGAAUUAUUGGGCGUAAAGGGUAGGUAGGUGGUCUCGUUUGUCUGGGGUGAAAGCCUUGAGCUUAACUCAAGAAGUGCCCCAGAAACGGCGAGACUAGAGUUCUGGAGAGGGUCGUGGAAUUCCCGGUGUAGCGGUGAAAUGCGUAGAGAUCGGGAGGAACACCAGAGGCGAAGGCGGCGACCUGGACAGAUACUGACGCUGAGGCACGAAAGCGUGGGGAGCAAACAGG
rnacentral:rRNA from 1 species